CGUUGAUGCAAAAACAAAGAUGGCGGCCAUACCGGGAAGUCAAUAAAAACACGUCCAACCGAGUCAGAUGAUUUAGCCGAGCGACAUGACGGAGCUUCUCAACAGGAAAUAACGGAAGGCGAGGAAGUGAAGGCGACGGAGAUAAAAUGAGAUAAAAUGAAGGAAAACGUGAUUUUAAGGAUUGUACAGUAGGCAGUGUAGUGGCCUGACCCAAAUCCCUUCCCAUGAUGCAUCACGACAGCAGAGAGCUCGUAGAGGAAGUGCUUG